UGGGGAAUAUUGCACAAUGGGCGCAAGCCUGAUGCAGCCAUGCCGCGUGUGUGAAGAAGGCCUUCGGGUUGUAAAGCACUUUCAGCGGGGAGGAAGGCGUUAAGGUUAAUAACCUUGGCGAUUGACGUUACCCGCAGAAGAAGCACCGGCUAACUCCGUGCCAGCAGCCGCGGUAAUACGGAGGGUGCAAGCGUUAAUCGGAAUUACUGGGCGUAAAGCGCACGCAGGCGGUCUGUCAAGUCGGGUGUGAAAUCCCCGGGCUCAACCUGGGAACUGCAUUCGAAACUGGCAGGCUAGAGUCUUGUAGAGGGGGGUAGAGUUCCAGGUGUGGCGGUGAAAUGCGUAGAGAUCUGGAGGAAUACCGGUGGCGAAGGCGGCCCCCUGGACAAAGACUGACGCUCAGGUGCGAAAGCGUGGGGAGCAAACAGG
rnacentral:rRNA from 1 species